rnacentral:rRNA from 1 species
UACGUAGGUGGCAAGCGUUGUCCGGAUUUAUUGGGUUUAAAGGGUGCGUAGGCGGCCUUAUAAGUCAGUGCUGAAAUAUCCCGGCUUAACCGGGAGGGUGGCAUUGAUACUGUAGGGCUUGAGUGUAGUCGAGGUAGGCGGAAUUGACGGUGUAGCGGUGAAAUGCUUAGAUAUCGUCAAGAACACCGAUAGUGUAGACAGCUUACUAGGCUACAACUGACGCUAAGGCACGAAAGUGUGGGGAUCAAACAGG